rnacentral:rRNA from 5 species
GGGUUGUGAGGUUAAGCGACUAAGCGUACACGGUGGAUGCCCUGGCAGUCAGAGGCGAUGAAGGGCGUGCUAAUCUGCGAUAAGCGCCGGUAAGGUGAUAUGAACCGUUAUAACCGGCGAUACCCGAAUGGGGAAACCCAGUGUGAUUCGUCACACUAUCAUUAACUGAAUCCAUAGGUUAAUGAGGCGAACCGGGGGAACUGAAACAUCUAAGUACCCCGAGGAAAAGAAAUCAACCGAGAUUCCCCCAGUAGCGGCGAGCGAACGGGGAGGAGCCCAGAGCCUGAAUCAGCAUGUGUGUUAGUGGAAGCGUCUGGAAAGGCGCGCGAUACAGGGUGACAGCCCCGUACACAAAAGCGCAUGUGCUGUGAGCUCGAUGAGUAGGGCGGGACACGUGGUAUCCUGUCUGAAUAUGGGGGGACCAUCCUCCAAGGCUAAAUACUCCUGACUGACCGAUAGUGAACCAGUACCGUGAGGGAAAGGCGAAAAGAACCCCGGCGAGGGGAGUGAAAAAGAACCUGAAACCGUGUACGUACAAGCAGUGGGAGCCCCACCACUAAGCCAGUGGUGAACUCCACAUACGCAUCCUUUGCUGAGGAUACGGUUAACGGAGCGAAAGCGACGUUCAACCGCAAAACAAGCAGAGGGGGCUUAGUGGUGGGGUGACUGCGUACCUUUUGUAUAAUGGGUCAGCGACUUAUAUUCUGUAGCAAGGUUAACCGAAUAGGGGAGCCGUAGGGAAACCGAGUCUUAACCGGGCGUUAAGUUGCAGGGUAUAGACCCGAAACCCGGUGAUCUAGCCAUGGGCAGGUUGAAGGUUGGGUAACACUAACUGGAGGACCGAACCGACUAAUGUUGAAAAAUUAGCGGAUGACCUGUGGCUGGGGGUGAAAGGCCAAUCAAACCGGGAGAUAGCUGGUUCUCCCCGAAAGCUAUUUAGGUAGCGCCUCGUGAAUUCAUCUCCGGGGGUAGAGCACUGUUUCGGCUAGGGGGCCAUCCCGGCUUACCAACCCGAUGCAAACUGCGAAUACCGGAGAAUGUUAUCACGGGAGACACACGGCGGGUGCUAACGUCCGUCGUGAAGAGGGAAACAACCCAGACCGCCAGCUAAGGUCCCAAAGUCAUGGUUAAGUGGGAAACGAUGUGGGAAGGCCCAGACAGCCAGGAUGUUGGCUUAGAAGCAGCCAUCAUUUAAAGAAAGCGUAAUAGCUCACUGGUCGAGUCGGCCUGCGCGGAAGAUGUAACGGGGCUAAACCAUGCACCGAAGCUGCGGCAGCGAACGUAUCACUUAAAGCGAUUCAGCGGGUUACGAUUGACGGAGCGAAGCGACGUCAAAGCGUAUACAAAGUCGAGUCGGUUUAAGGAUACGUUCGUUGGGUAGGGGAGCGUUCUGUAAGCCUGCGAAGGUGGCCUGUGAGGGUUGCUGGAGGUAUCAGAAGUGCGAAUGCUGACAUAAGUAACGAUAAAGCGGGUGAAAAGCCCGCUCGCCGGAAGACCAAGGGUUCCUGUCCAACGUUAAUCGGGGCAGGGUGAGUCGACCCCUAAGGCGAGGCCGAAAGGCGUAGUCGAUGGGAAACGGGUUAAUAUUCCCGUACUUGGUGUUACUGCGAAGGGGGGACGGAGAAGGCUAUGUUGGCCGGGCGACGGUUGUCCCGGUUUAAGCGUGUAGGUGUGUGUUCCAGGUAAAUCCGGUUCACUUUAACACUGAGGCGUGACGACGAGGCACUACGGUGCUGAAGCAACAAAUGCCCUGCUUCCAGGAAAAGCCUCUAAGCAUCAGGUAACACGAAAUCGUACCCCAAACCGACACAGGUGGUCAGGUAGAGAAUACCAAGGCGCUUGAGAGAACUCGGGUGAAGGAACUAGGCAAAAUGGUGCCGUAACUUCGGGAGAAGGCACGCUGACACGUAGGUGAAGUGAUUUACUCAUGGAGCUGAAGUCAGUCGAAGAUACCAGCUGGCUGCAACUGUUUAUUAAAAACACAGCACUGUGCAAACACGAAAGUGGACGUAUACGGUGUGACGCCUGCCCGGUGCCGGAAGGUUAAUUGAUGGGGUCAGCGCAAGCGAAGCUCCUGAUCGAAGCCCCGGUAAACGGCGGCCGUAACUAUAACGGUCCUAAGGUAGCGAAAUUCCUUGUCGGGUAAGUUCCGACCUGCACGAAUGGCGUAAUGAUGGCCAGGCUGUCUCCACCCGAGACUCAGUGAAAUUGAACUCGCUGUGAAGAUGCAGUGUACCCGCGGCAAGACGGAAAGACCCCGUGAACCUUUACUAUAGCUUGACACUGAACAUUGAGCCUUGAUGUGUAGGAUAGGUGGGAGGCUUUGAAGUGUGGACGCCAGUCUGCAUGGAGCCGACCUUGAAAUACCACCCUUUAAUGUUUGAUGUUCUAACGUGGACCCGUGAUCCGGGUUGCGGACAGUGUCUGGUGGGUAGUUUGACUGGGGCGGUCUCCUCCUAAAGAGUAACGGAGGAGCACGAAGGUUGGCUAAUCCUGGUCGGACAUCAGGAGGUUAGUGCAAUGGCAUAAGCCAGCUUGACUGCGAGCGUGACGGCGCGAGCAGGUGCGAAAGCAGGUCAUAGUGAUCCGGUGGUUCUGAAUGGAAGGGCCAUCGCUCAACGGAUAAAAGGUACUCCGGGGAUAACAGGCUGAUACCGCCCAAGAGUUCAUAUCGACGGCGGUGUUUGGCACCUCGAUGUCGGCUCAUCACAUCCUGGGGCUGAAGUAGGUCCCAAGGGUAUGGCUGUUCGCCAUUUAAAGUGGUACGCGAGCUGGGUUUAGAACGUCGUGAGACAGUUCGGUCCCUAUCUGCCGUGGGCGCUGGAGAACUGAGGGGGGCUGCUCCUAGUACGAGAGGACCGGAGUGGACGCAUCACUGGUGUUCGGGUUGUCAUGCCAAUGGCACUGCCCGGUAGCUAAAUGCGGAAGAGAUAAGUGCUGAAAGCAUCUAAGCACGAAACUUGCCCCGAGAUGAGUUCUCCCUGAGACUUAGAGUCUCCUGAAGGAACGUUGAAGACGACGACGUUGAUAGGCCGGGUGUGUAAGCGCAGCGAUGCGUUGAGCUAACCGGUACUAAUGAACCGUGAGGCUUAACCUUACAACGCCGAAG